UCACUAUGUCCAAAAGCAUUCCAAGCUUAAUGCCGCUUUAUGACAUUAGCUUACUAAAUCCAUCUCUAGUCCAAGCCUAAUACCGCUUUAUGACAUUAGCCUACUAAAUCCAUCUCUAGUCCAAGCCUAAUACCGCUUUAUGACAUUAGCUUACAAUUUACAUACACUCUAGCAUAUGUCACUCAAUGACAACAUGUCCAACCAUGCUAAGCAUGCGUUCUAAGUCCAAGAGUGUAAUCUACAUGUCAUAUGCACUACAUGCAACAUGAUCUCAAUCAAAUGUAAGAAUGCUAACCAUAUGCAAGGUUCCAAAUAUGAACAGUUCUCUACUACAUAGAGGUCCAAUGUACUUUAUACAUAACAUGCACAUAUUAGGCAUUCUAAAAUUCUCAAAUAUUCUAUCUAGUAAGAAUAUACAUGCAUUUUCAUUUUAUGAAAAGUAAAAACCAUCAUAGGGAUGAUUUAUCCCAUUUUGGUGAGGCCAAACCCACCGAGAGUUCCACGCGGCCUUCGUUUGCGCCGACGAAGAUGCCCACAAGCUUCCUAGCUCCCUAAAGGUUAAAGUAGAGCGAUACACGAACGUUACGAACAACGAAUAGGUUAAACAUUAACCAACUCAAGAAAAGGAUAAUAUCUCACCUAAGUGUAGAAAAUCCCUCUCAAGCUCCAAAUGGGAGCUAGAACCCUUCCAAUCCAACCUAGAGGAAGGUUCUAAACCGAUCAAUCGAGCUCCAAAAGCCCUAGGUCAAAAAUCCCCAAAAUAAACCCUAAAUCCUUAUUUCUAGGGCUACAACAAGAAGACCAUCAAAACACAAAUCAAGAGGAGAGAAAAAGCUUCUAACCUCUUGAGAAGCCUCAAACCAAGCUCAAAGUCCACUAGGUAUGGAGAUCUUC
rnacentral:lncRNA from 1 species